rnacentral:rRNA from 1 species
UCAGCCGCCGCGGUAAUACCAGCUCUCCGAGUGGUGUGGACGUUUAUUGGGCCUAAAGCAUCCGUAGCUGGCUGAACAAGUCCCCUGUUAAACCCACCGAUUUAAUUGUUGGCGUACGGGGGAUACCGCUUGGCUAGGGGACGAGAGAGCCAGACGGUAUUCCCGGGGUAGGGGUGAAAUCCUAUAAUCCCGAGAAGACACCAGUGGCGAAGGCUGUUUGCUAGAACGCGCCCGACGGUGAGGGAUGAAAGCUGGGGGAGCGAACCGGAUUAGAUACCCGGGUAGUCCCAGCUGUAAACGAUGCAGACUAGGUGUUUGGACGGCCACGUGCCGUUCUAGUGCCGCAGGGAAGCUGUUAAGUCUGCCGCCUGGGUAGUACGAUCGCAAGGUUGAAACUUAAAGGAAUUGGCGGGGGAGCACA